GCUUGCCUAAAACAUAAGUGCAUUUGUUCUGUUAAGGAGGAUUCCCUUUUAUAGAGUAUUUUUCCUUGAUAUAAUGUUCCUAGCUUCGAUGUGGGAUGCUCUAAUUUUUACUCUUCCAUAUAUGUCUUUUGCAUCCCGUUCUUCCCUAAUUUUUUUGAUGGUCUGACUCCUCCCCUGCUCGACUCCGACUCCUCCCCUACUUCGGUUAGUCUUCUAUCAUCAUCUUCUGCCACGACAUCAAAGGAACGACAUCAAACUGAGCAUCGUCAAACGGUAAGUACCGAACCCAAUCAACAAUCAAUAAUCGGAUAAUAUGGAAAGGAUUGGUGAAAAGGAGAUUAGGUCGAAUGAAGGGUGAAGAAAUAUGAGGUCGAAUCGAAAAAAAUAAAGGUGAAGAACCUCAACAACAGUGAAAGUCAAAAGUGAAUAUGAUUUCAAGUCAGAAUUGGUGAUCAAAUAUGAAUGAGUGGUCAAAAUUGAAUGUGAAUGUUUCAAGAUGAGUUCGAUUCAAAGAAACGGAUGUUGUGCUGCUAUGUUGAAGGUGAUCAGAUACGAAUGAGUGAUCAAGAUGAAUGCUGAAGGUGUUGCUGUGCAAGGCUCUGGAUGGGUGAUGCAAAUGUGAUCAGAUAUGAAGGUGUUGUUGUGCAGGGCUCAAACUUGUUUUGGAAUUGUGAAUUGUAUUUGUUGAUUAUGAAGGACCUGUCAUCGUCAAUGCUAAGGAAUGAUUUCAGGGUAGUGGUUUUUUCUUUUUGAUCCAAGUCUGGACCAUUUUGCCCUUGGGGGUGAUUUAGUCAUGUUGUGUGUUCCCUGGACCUGCUGUGUAUAGAGUUAAAGUAAUUGUUCAUCUCUAACUGAAUUUACAAUGUUAAUUCAUAGAGCCUGGUGUAUUUUACCUACAAUUAACCAUUUACCAUUGUUGAUCUCUUUUGUUGUACUGAAAUGUUAAAUUACAUGCAUAAAAUUGAUUUUGUAGUGCUCA